GACAAAGUGACUUGUGGGGUAAAGGGGAGAAGCUAGAGGUGUAUAAGCUCCAACUGAAAACCGAUAAACCUGGGACUUCCCUGCUGGUCCAGUGGUUAACACUUCACCUUCCAAUGCAGAGGAUGCAAGUUCGAUCCCUGGUCUGGGAGCUAAGAUCCCAUAUGCCCUAUGGCCAAGAAACCAGGACAUAAACAACAUAAGCAAUAUUGUAACAAAUUCAAUAAAGACUUAAUUUUUUUAAUUGUUAAAAAAAAGGAAACUAAUAGGCUCAAAUUAUCCACUGUUAGGUUCAUUUCAAGAAGAACUGUGGAUGUGGUUAUUGGCCCCAGGAUGUAUGGCUGUAUUUCCAGAGAGCUGCCUGGACAGAUACAAACAGAUAGAUGGGAGCAGUAGGGGAGGCCAGAUGGCUGGUGCCUGGUUCCUUCCAAAGCACAUAUGCCUCCCACCCCCCAAGUGUAAGGAUAUAUGGAUGUGAGAGCUGGACCAUAAAGAAGGCUGAGUGCCAAAGAGUGCCAAAGCAUUGAUGCUUUUGAAUUGUCCUGGAAAAGACUCUUGAGAGUCCCAUGGACUGCAAGGAGAUCAAACCAGUCAAUCCUAAAGGAAAUCAACUCUGAAUAUUCAUUGGAAGGACUGAUGCUGAAGCUGAAGCUCCAAUACUUUGGCCACCUGAUGCAAAGAACUAACUCAUUGGAAAAGACCCUGAUGCUAGGAAAGAUUGAAGGCAGGAGGAGAAGAGAGUGACAGAGGAUGAGAUGGUUGGAUGGCACCUCUGACUCGAUGGACAUGAAUUUGAGCACACUCUGGGAGAAGGUAAAGGACAGGGAAGCCUCGUGUGCUGCAGUCCAUGGGGUAGAAAAGAGUCGGAUGCAACUUAGCGAAUGAACAACAAAGCCCCCAAGCGCCCUGCAGACAGAGAGCCACUGUCCCUUGCCCAGUGAGUCUCAGUUAGAUGUAGUUGGGCCUCCAAGGUGCUGCUUCCUUUCCUGAGGAGCUAAGAGUGUGAUUUUCAUGUUCUGGCUCGUCCGCUUCCCCGAGGGAAUGAAAUAGCUGGGGCUGAAUAAUGCAACACUCCCAGUCCAGCGAUGGUAGCCUCUCUCUUUUUUUAACUACAGCCUCUAAUUCACUCCCAGGAACAAAUUAUAUUUGAUGGCCUUUUACUAAAUUAUUCAUCCCUCCUCCCACUGCUCUCAGUGGUUCAGGAAGCCUAGAGAUGGCCUGGGGUAGGGAGGACCUCAUUUCCACCCAUAUACAGUUCCCAGAGGCAGCCAGGCU
rnacentral:lncRNA from 1 species